rnacentral:rRNA from 1 species
GGAAUUUUCCGCAAUGGGCGAAAGCCUGACGGAGCAAGACCGCGUGCGGGAAGACGGCCUGUGGGUUGUAAACCGCUUUUGACAGGGAAGAAUAUGUGACGGUACCUGUCGAAUCAGCCUACGAUAACUCCGUGCCAGCAGCCGCGGUAAUACGGAGGAGGCAAGCGUUAUCCGGAAUUAUUGGGCGUAAAGCGUCCGCAGGUGGUUUAUCAAGUCAGCUGUUAAAGCGUGGGGCUUAACUCCAUAAAGGCAGUUGAAACUGAUAGGCUAGAGUGCGAUAGGGGCAAGGGGAAUUCCCAGUGUAGCGGUGAAAUGCGUAAAUAUUGGGAAGAACACCGGUGGCGAAAGCGCCUCGCUGGGUCUGCACUGACACUGAGGGACGAAAGCUAGGGGAGCGAAA